rnacentral:rRNA from 1 species
GAUGAACGCUGGCGGCGUGCCUAAUACAUGCCAGUCGAGCGAACAGACGAGGAGCUUGCUCCUCUGACGUUAGCGGCGGACGGGUGAGUAACACGUGGAUAACCUACCUAUAAGACUGGGAUAACUUCGGGAAACCGGAGCUAAUACCGGAUAAUAUAUUGAACCGCAUGGUUCAAUAGUGAAAGACGGUUUUGCUGUCACUUAUAGAUGGAUCCGCGCCGCAUUAGCUAGUUGGUAAGGUAACGGCUUACCAAGGCAACGAUGCGUAGCCGACCUGAGAGGGUGAUCGGCCACACUGGAACUGAGACACGGUCCAGACUCCUACGGGAGGCAGCAGUAGGGAAUCUUCCGCAAUGGGCGAAAGCUUGACGGAGCAACGCCGCGUGAGUGAUGAAGGUCUUCGGAUCGUAAAACUCUGUUAUUAGGGAAGAACAAAUGUGUAAGUAACUAUGCACGUCUUGACGGUACCUAAUCAGAAAGCCUCGGCUAACUACGUG